CAGCCGCCGCGGUAAAACCAGCACCUCAAGUGGUCAGGAUGAUUAUUGGGCCUAAAGCAUCCGUAGCCCGUUUUGUAAGUUUUCGGUUAAAUCCAUGCGCUUAACGUAUGGGCUGCCGGGAAUACUGCAUAACUAGGAAGUGGGGGAGGUAGACGGUACUCGGUAGGAAGGGGUAAAAUCCUUUGAUCUAUUGAUGACCACCUGUGGCGAAGGCGGUCUACCAGAACACGUUCGACGGUGAGGGAUGAAAGCUGGGGGAGCAAACCGGAUUAAAUACCCGGGUAGUCCCAGCUGUAAACUAUGCAAACUCAUUGAUGCAUUGGCUUAUGGCCAAUGCAGUGCUGCAGGGAAGCCGUUAAGUUUGCCGCCUGGGAAGUACGUACGCAAGUAUGAAACUUAAAGGAAUUGGCGGGGGAGCACAA
rnacentral:rRNA from 1 species